UGAGAAUGCCGGAAUGAGUAGCGAGAAUUAUGUGAGAAUCAUAAUGGCCGAAAGACUAAGGUUUUAGAAGGAAGGUUCGUCCGCUUCUAGUUAGCCGGGAGCUAAGGCGAGGCCGAAAGGCGUAGUCGAUGCACAUACGGUUGAGAUUCCGUAGCCACCUUAAAUUUAAACUAAGGGACACAUUGAAAGGGAAUAACCCAGGCGUUGGUUGACCUGGGCGUAAGGGAACGAAAAUAAGUAGUGAAGUAUUCUUGGACAGUGGCGAGAAAAGCUUAGUGUAUAUUAUUAGGGUGCCCGUACUGCAAACCGACACAGGUAGUCAGGAAGAGAAUUCUAAGGCCAUCGGGAGAAGCGUUGUUAAGGAACUCGGCAAAUUGACCCCGUAACUUCGGAAUAAGGGGUGCUCACGAGAGUGAGCCGCAGUGAAUAGGUCCAGGCAACUGUUUAUCAAAAACACAGCUCUCUGCUAAAUCGUAAGAUGACGUAUAGGGGGUGACACCUGCCCGGUGCUGGAAGGUUAAGAGGAGGAGUGCAAGCCCCGAAUCGAAGCCCCAGUAAACGGCGGCCGUAACUAUAACGGUCCUAAGGUAGCGAAAUUCCUUGUCGGGUAAGUUCCGACCCGCACGAAUGGUGUAACGAUCUGGACACUGUCUCAACUACCCACCCGGCGAAAUUGUAGUACCGGUGAAGAUGCCGGUUACCCGCGGCAAGACGGAAAGACCCCAUGGAGCUUUACUGUAACUUAAUAUUGGGUCUCGGUACUUUAUGUACAGGAUAGGCGGGAGACUUGGAAACUAGCACGCCAGUGUUAGCGGAGUCAUCCUUGGGAUACCGCUCUUAAGGUAUUGAGAUUCUAACCUGCAGCCUUGAAUCAGGUUGGGGGACAUUGUUAGGUGGGCAGUUUGACUGGGGCGGUCGCCUCCAAAAGAGUAACGGAGGCGUUCAAAGGUUGGCUCAGCAUGGACGGAAACCAUGCUUUAGAGUAUAAACGCAUAAGCCAGCCUAACUGCGAGACUGACGGGUCGAGCAGUAACGAAAGUUGGAGUUAGUGAUC
rnacentral:rRNA from 1 species